rnacentral:piRNA from 1 species
UAGAGACAUGAGGAGGCUAAUCGGGCGG